UGCACAACUUUAGACACCAUCAUCCU
rnacentral:piRNA from 1 species